GACAUGGCUCACCAGUAGAGCACCUGCUUUGCAUGCAGAAGGUCCCAGGUUAAAUUUGCCCUAGUGGCAUCU